AAACUUCUGCAAUAGGGUUUAGUAUAUUGCAUCUCUUAAAUCGAGAUUAAUUGCUUUGCAGAUAGCAGUAAUAUAUAUGACCUUGUCGUAAUCGAUUACAUCGAUUCUCAAUUUUUUCU
rnacentral:ncRNA from 12 species